AUAGAUGAUCAGGAGGCUGCAAGCAACCACUUUCAUGAAAAGCCACAGCCUCUUUCCCAGUUUCUGGAUUUGAUCCUGCUUUCAAGUCCGGAAUCCAUCUUCUGCAGGAGAGGUUGGGUCUCAAGCAGGAUGUGCCCUGACACACCAUGGAUAUUUGUUUGGAAUGGAAGAUCCCAGAGAAACAGAGAAUCGCUUGGCAGACCGGAAGAAAGCUCCAUUAGCAUUUUCAGCAAGCCUGGCAGAUGGCCCCUCCGAUAGCCAAGGAAGGGAAGAUGGUAAGGGCCAGGAGACUCGAAAGAGUUUUCUCUCCAAGUAGAAUGUCUAUUCAAAAGAAAAAGAAAGAGGAGAGAUAGAAUUGUCCACAGGAAAGAAUAAAAGAAAUCUGAAAGUCAUAGUAA